UCUUAUGGAUGAGCAAAGAAAAUGGUUUCUUGAGGUAGAAUCUACUCAUGAUGAAGAUGCUCUUAAGAC
rnacentral:pre_miRNA from 1 species